rnacentral:rRNA from 1 species
GGGUUGUGAGGUUAAGCGACUAAGCGUACACGGUGGAUGCCCUGGCAGUCAGAGGCGAUGAAGGGCGUGCUAAUCUGCGAUAAGCGCCGGUAAGGUGAUAUGAACCGUUAUAACCGGCGAUACCCGAAUGGGGAAACCCAGUGUGACUCGUCACACUAUCAUUAACUGAAUCCAUAGGUUAAUGAGGCGAACCGGGGGAACUGAAACAUCUAAGUACCCCGAGGAAAAGAAAUCAACCGAGAUUCCCCCAGUAGCGGCGAGCGAACGGGGAGGAGCCCAGAGCCUGAAUCAGCAUGUGUGUUAGUGGAAGCGUCUGGAAAGGCGCGCGAUACAGGGUGACAGCCCCGUACACAAAAGCGCAUGUGCUGUGAGCUCGAUGAGUAGGGCGGGACACGUGGUAUCCUGUCUGAAUAUGGGGGGACCAUCCUCCAAGGCUAAAUACUCCUGACUGACCGAUAGUGAACCAGUACCGUGAGGGAAAGGCGAAAAGAACCCCGGCGAGGGGAGUGAAAAAGAACCUGAAACCGUGUACGUACAAGCAGUGGGAGCCCCACCACCAAAGCAUUCUCUGGUGUUGAAGGCCCUGCAAAGCAGCAUCGCGGUGGCGGAGCGUCGUUUGCGACGCCCAACACACAAAACAAGCGGUGAGUGCUUUGGGGUGGGGUGACUGCGUACCUUUUGUAUAAUGGGUCAGCGACUUAUAUUCUGUAGCAAGGUUAACCGAAUAGGGGAGCCGGAGGGAAACCGAGUCUUAAUUGGGCGUUAAGUUGCAGGGUAUAGACCCGAAACCCGGUGAUCUAGCCAUGGGCAGGUUGAAGGUUGGGUAACACUAACUGGAGGACCGAACCGACUAAUGUUGAAAAAUUAGCGGAUGACCUGUGGCUGGGGGUGAAAGGCCAAUCAAACCGGGAGAUAGCUGGUUCUCCCCGAAAGCUAUUUAGGUAGCGCCUCGUGAAUUCAUCUCCGGGGGUAGAGCACUGUUUCGGCUAGGGGGCCAUCCCGGCUUACCAACCCGAUGCAAACUGCGAAUACCGGAGAAUGUUAUCACGGGAGACACACGGCGGGUGCUAACGUCCGUCGUGAAGAGGGAAACAACCCAGACCGCCAGCUAAGGUCCCAAAGUCAUGGUUAAGUGGGAAACGAUGUGGGAAGGCCCAGACAGCCAGGAUGUUGGCUUAGAAGCAGCCAUCAUUUAAAGAAAGCGUAAUAGCUCACUGGUCGAGUCGGCCUGCGCGGAAGAUGUAACGGGGCUAAACCAU